GCGCAUGUGAUGGCAGGGUGGCAACGGACUCUCAAUCCGUAGGUCGAGUGUUCGAGUCACUCAGGGCCCGCCA
rnacentral:tRNA from 1 species